AUGAACGCUGGCGGCGUGCCUAAUACAUGCAAGUCGAGCGAACAGACGAGGAGUUUGCUCCUCUGACGUUAGCGGCGGACGGGUGAGUAACACGUGGAUAACCUACCUAUAAGACUGGGAUAACUUCGGGAAACCGGAGCUAAUACCGGAUAAUAUAUUGAACCGCAUGGUUCAAUAGUGAAAGACGGUUUUGCUGUCACUUAUAGAUGGAUCCGCGCCGCAUUAGCUAGUUGGUAAGGUAACGGCUUACCAAGGCAACGAUGCGUAGCCGACCUGAGAGGGUGAUCGGCCACACUGGAACUGAGACACGGUCCAGACUCCUACGGGAGGCAGCAGUAGGGAAUCUUCCGCAAUGGGCGAAAGCUUGACGGAGCAACGCCGCGUGAGUGAUGAAGGUCUUCGGAUCGUAAAACUCUGUUAUUAGGGAAGAACAAAUGUGUAAGUAACUAUGCACGUCUUGACGGUACCUAAUCAGAAAGCCACGGCUAACUACGUG
rnacentral:rRNA from 1 species